CUCAAGGAGAUUUUGUAAAGCACACACAUGGAGCACAGCUAACAGCUGAUGAAGACACCAUGUUGCAGGGUUUGUUCCUUCCCUAUGACUGGUGGGCUGAAAAGAUAUUCUCCCUUCAUUUGAUACUCAUAUUUGAACUUGCUAAUUCUAAACUGCCUCCUCUCAUCUUCGAGGCUACAUCAAGGCUUCCUGCUGCCAGGCUGGGGCGAGACAUCUCGGCUCAGACGUCCUGGAGGCAGAAUGAAGGCACCCAUGAGUGAUUGAAGCCAAACUCACAUCUGAUGAACUCAAGAUAUUCUGAGGAAUGUGUGUGCAGUGAACAGCAACAGAACAUGAGGAUGGCAUGCUGAGAGACAAAUCAUUGUUUUUUCUAUUAAAAUAUGUACAAAUACAG